rnacentral:tRNA from 1 species
ACCUGGGUGGCUCAGUCAGUUGAGCGCCCGACUUCAGCUCAGGUCACGAUCUCGCAGCACGUGAGUUCGAGCCCCACAUCAGGCU